ACAGGUGAGUGAGGAAGGUCACUUCCUGGUGGGCUCAGGAAUCUUAGGCUGCUUUGGGGGACCUCGGGAAGAGAGGAAUGCCCAUCAAAUCACUGGGUGCUGCAGGUGAAAAGUGGGGGUGAAUUCUUGGCUUGGCUUCCUACUCUCCAGAGGCUUUGAAAAGUCCAAUCUGAGAUUCUUUAUGAAAACUCUCAGCAGAGCAAAUCUAAAACCUAUGUGGUAAAUUGUCAUUCUUGGUGCAUCUUUGCAAAUAACCAGGCCACUGUAAUGAGACCAGCCUUACUUUGUGAUCAAGAAUAACUUUUCUUUGAGAUUGUGUUUGACCAGAAUGGUAAGAGAGACUGUAGAGAGAAAUUUUGUUUCAAUAGGAAGUAGCAGCUGACUCUCUGGAUGUUCAGGUUCUGAUCCUCCUCAUUGUCUUUGAGCUACGUUGCACCUUUCUGUAAUCGCUUUCCACUGACUUCGUCUGAUCUAGUAACCAAGCUUUCUCUUUCUCUGUGGAAAAAUCAGUUUGGUAUUGAACUGGAUUCUUCCACCUUGCACAGACUGUCGAUCCUUACCAGGUUUUCAGCUCUUCCAGACCCCUUCAAUAUCUGGCUACAAACUCACCUUCGCCUUCAAACUUAGAUUUCCAUUCUUUCUCCUUUCUUCUUGACUUGGAGUCACUGAGAACUAAAACCUGAUGGCCAGAUUCUUAUUGAGACUCCGAGGUUGCCUUGUAACUGGUGCUGUCCCCCUGGGACUGAAGACUCAUUGCAAGUUCAAGCCUGAGACUUGUUAUAAGCCUAUGACUAGGACUCAUCAUUUCAGCUUACCAUUCAUGGCACAGCUCUUUCCUUGGAUAAACUGCUGUUUGGGCUACUGUGGAAGUCUGGUGAAAUUCUCAGGUCACCCUCGCCCUGACUGGAGAGGUAACCAACACUUUGGACAACAUCACCAAAGCAGUCAACAUCAUAACUUUGAAAACCUCAGUGAAAGUUUCCUUGGAGGUUCCACUAAGACACAGUUUCCACCGGUCGUGAGCAUGGACUCCAGUCUUCAUCCAGGUGUGGAAGCCCUUGUGCUUUGCUGCUCACCUCUUGUCGAGUCCACAGCAAUGUGGAUAUUUCAUUUAUUGGAAGAGAUAUCAUAGGAAAACUGCUCUUGACUUCAUUGGAAAGGACCUUAUCAGAUCUCUGCGUGUGCCUGCUGAGUACUACUUCCUUUGUGACCACAACGCCCAGCUCUGUUUGCUCGACUCUGCCAGAUGAAUCCUAUGCAAGAUGCCCAGACUUCAAAAUUCUAACACAACUGAGCUGUACUGUUCCCUUUCAACAUAUGACUUAACUUAUUUUACAGAAACAACAUCAACAAGAGUCCCAGAAAGACUAUUAAUCAGAUCCUGCUUCAUCUCGCUCAGGAGUUUUAUACUCGUCUCUUAGUAGUUUGGGAACCUACUGUAUUCAUUAAUAUUGAACAAAAGGAAGGGCUGACAAUGUUGAACUUUACCUAAGGUCUGUGUUGCUAGAAAACAAGUGAUGCUUAAGAAAUACG